rnacentral:tRNA from 1 species
GCCCGGGUGGUGAAACUGGUAGACACAAGGGACUUAAAAUCCCUCGACGGGUAAUUCCGUCGUGCAGGUUCGACCCCUGCCCCGGGCACCA